ensembl:lncRNA
CAUAUCUAAUUGGGCCCCAUGGAGUGAUACAUGCGUCUUGUGAACCUCCUUCGAGUUCUCAAAGCGAUUCCUUGAGGAUUUAGUUGUCUCAACAGCCUCAUAACUACAUCACGCUUGACACGCAGCUUGUGUUUUUGUUUGAGAACUUGCCACAUGGUCCGAUAUCCAAACAAUUGUCCUGGUCCUCGAAGCUCGGACAAAAUGGCACGCCUCACCUCAGGAAGUGGAGAAUAGUUGCCUCGUCUGUACAGUCCAGAUUCUUUUAAAUGUGUUUUCAGUGUACGCAUACUAAUUGCAAUGUCAUGAUUACACUUGAGCAUAUCCAGUAUCACCUCGUAUGUAUGUCCUGAAUCAAAAUAUUCUCGAAUAACGACAGCUAUGUUUGGGUCACCGCUAAUGUUCAUGUUUGAAAAAAAUGCGCCACAGGCAGAGUAACUUCCGGUUCCAAAGAUGAACAGCGCGGACGUCCAAUCAGUGAUGUCUCCUGUUGCCGACUGGUACCUACCCUUUCCGGUUUUCUUAAUGUAAUUGUGCUUCUCAAUUUGUUUUUGUGAUUCUUCUUUUGUUUUUGUGCUUCUUGAUUUGUUUUUGUGAUUCUUCUUUUGUUUUUGUGCUUCUUGAUUUGUUUUUGUGAUUCUUCUUUUGUUUUUGUGCUUCUUGAUUUGUUUUUGUGAUUCUCAGUUUUGUUUUUGUGCUUCUCAAUUUUGUUUUUGUGCUUCUCAAUUUUGUUUUUGUGAUUCUCAGUUUUGUUUUUGUGAUACUCCAUUUGUUUUUUUGUUUCUCGAUUUUGUUGUUGUGUUUAGCAAUUUCUUGGUGUGAUUUGCACUUCAGGGCCUCUCAAUUUUGUUGUUGUGUUUAGCAAUUUGUUGGUGUGAUUUGCACUUCAGGGCCACUGUAGAUUUGUGCUUAAUAUAGUAUUUCUGCUAAAUGUAGUAUUUAUGCUUAAUCAUACUAUUUCUAUAUAUUUCUGCCAGGCAGCCAAUCCUCUGUGAGGACUGAGACGUUCAAAUUUUCAAAUCAGGGCCUGCACGGUUUCCCAGCCAAUCAUAUAUGUGUCCUGAGGCAUUCAAAUUUGCAUAUUGGGGCCUUCAUGGCUUCUAAGCCAGCCAAUCAUAUCUGAGGGCUGAGGAAUUC